GCGGGAGUAACUCAGUGGUAGAGUGCAACCUUGCCAAGGUUGAAGUCGUGGGUUCGAAUCCCAUUUCCCGCU
rnacentral:tRNA from 1 species